GACGAACGCUGGCGGCGUGCUUAACACAUGCAAGUCGAACGGAAAGGCCUGCUUUCCCUUGUGGAUUGCGGGUACUCGAGUGGCGAACGGGUGAGUAACACGUGAGUGAUCUGCCCCCAACUUGGGUAUAAGCCUGGGAAACUGGGUCUAAUUCUCGAUAGGACUGCAGGGUGGUGCCUGUGGUGGAAAACGAUGUUCUAGUGGUUGGGGAUGAGCCGGCGGCCUAUCAGCUUGUUGGUGGGGUAAUGGCCUACCAAGGCGGGGAGGGGUAGCCGGAGUGUGAGCGUGGACGGUGGCAUUGAGACUGAGACACGGCCCAGACUGCUACGGGAGGCAGGGGUGGGGAAUAAUGGACAGUGGGCGGAAGCCUGAUGCAGCGACGCGGCGUGGGGGAUGACGGGCUUCGGGUGGUAAUCUGCUGUCGACGAAGAGCAACAGACCUGGUUGGAGGGGUGGUGACGGUAGUGGUAGAAGAAGCACCGGCUAACUACGUG
rnacentral:rRNA from 1 species